GACGGAAGGUGCAAGCGUUGCUCGGAAUCACUGGGCGUAAAGGGUGCGUAGGCGGCCGUGCAAGUCUGGCGUGAAAGCCCCGGGCUCAGCCCGGGAAGUGCGCUCGAAACUGCGCGGCUCGAGUGCCGGAGGGGAGAGUGGAAUUCCUGGUGUAGCGGUGAAAUGCGUAGAUAUCAGGAGGAACACCGGUGGUGUAGACGGCUUUCUGGACCGUAACUGACGCUGAGACACGAAAGCGUGGGUAGCAAACAGG
rnacentral:rRNA from 1 species